rnacentral:rRNA from 1 species
UAGGGAAUCUUCGGCAAUGGACGCAAGUCUGACCGAGCAACGCCGCGUGAGUGAAGAAGGUUUUCGGAUCGUAAAACUCUGUUGUUAGAGAAGAACAAGGACGUUAGUAACUGAACGUCCCCUGACGGUAUCUAACCAGAAAGCCACGGCUAACUACGUGCCAGCAGCCGCGGUAAUACGUAUGUGGCAAGCGUUGUCCGGAUUUAUUGGGCGUAAAGCGAGCGCAGGCGGUUUCUUAAGUCUGAUGUGAAAGCCCCCGGCUCAACCGGGGAGGGUCAUUGGAAACUGGGAGACUUGAGUGCAGAAGAGGAGAGUGGAAUUCCAUGUGUAGCGGUGAAAUGCGUAGAUAUAUGGAGGAACACCAGUGGCGAAGGCGGCUCUCUGGCCUGUAACAGACGCUGAGGCUCGAAAGCGUGGGGAGCAAACAGG